rnacentral:rRNA from 1 species
UACGUAGGGUGCGAGCGUUGUCCGGAAUUAUUGGGCGUAAAGAGCUCGUAGGCGGUUUGGCAAGUCGGGUGUGAAAACUCCGGGCUCAACUCGGAGACGCCACUCGAUACUGCCAUGACUCGAGUCCGGUAGGGGAGUGCGGAAUUCCUGGUGUAGCGGUGAAAUGCGCAGAUAUCAGGGGGAACACCGGUGGCGAAGGCGGCACUCUGGGCCGGUACUGACGCUGAGGAGCGAAAGCGUGGGGAGCGAACAGG